CCUAGAAUCCGCUGCGUUGGUGCCUGCGGCCUGGUUCACAGACCGCGGUUCAACGGGAAGCAGGGAGGCGCCGUCCGCCACGGACGCGCCGUGCCUGCGCUGCCCCCGCAACGGUCCGUGGAAGAAAGCUGCCCGCCCCUUUCGGCAGGGCGGCUUUCGCCGCCUCCUGCACAUGGCCACUGGGUGCCUUGAACAAGCGCCUGGGAAGGCGCAGGAGCGUGUCGUCCACCAGCCCGGAUACCGGCCAACACGGAGGCCGCGCC
rnacentral:ncRNA from 2 species